UGCUACCUGGGCGACGCCUUCCGCUGCGCUGGCUGUCCGUACAGAGGUCUACCUGCGUUCAAGCCGGGCGAGAAAGUUUCCCUACUCCCGGAGACUCCAGUGGACCCUGGAGCUCAGCGCAUGCCCGAGAAGCAGGUGACGACGGUUUCAAUGAAGAAAGUUCAGCUUACGGAUUUGACGGAUGACAUAUGAGGGCGAUUCAUUUCGUUUUAAAUUUGCAUUCACGUCUACUUUUCUUCACUUUUCGGAUGUGAUAUAAAAAGGUUGGGGGUCCUUGUGCUGUAGUGGAACUGCUCUUCAUCAUCCACAACAG